CUUCAACGAGCCGAUCCACACCGGGCGUUCGGCGGGGCGCCCCUGUCCGUACGUCGCGAGCAGCGCCUGGGCCUC
rfam:Streptomyces uncialis strain DCA2648 scaffold2, whole genome shotgun sequence.